AUGUACGGCCACACCAUCCUGAACACGCCCGAUCUCGUCUGAUCUCGGAAGCUAAGCAGGGUCUGGCCUGGUUAGUACUUGGAUGGGAGAAAUAAUGCUCCUGAAACCUUUUAAUGUGUAAA
ensembl:rRNA 5S_rRNA 5S ribosomal RNA